AAAGUAUUUCUAAAAAUAUACUAUAUAUAUAUAUAGAAUGAGUUGAGCUGGAAUGCUAUCGGUAGCAAACGGGCUCCGUUGCCACCCAUUUGUUUUCGAUGAUGGAGCUUUUAAAUUGACGAUCGGCACCGUUGAACAUGAUCUAUAUCAGUUGAAGUAUCUAGAAAUCAAAUUUCAAAUCUUUUCGACAUCAUUUACCUAAUGAUCAAAGGGUUUCAAAAUUAGUAAUUUUAAUGGUUGAUAUGAGGGGUUUUCUUGUUUAACGGUGUAAAGCUAUCCAAAUCAAUUAAAUUUUGGUUAGAAAAUUCUUUAAACUAUUUAGAAUAAGAUCUAUACUCUCGAUCAAGAUUACAAAAUUUUUAUCAUCACUUUUCAGAGAAUAUUCAUUUUCAGCCAUUCAUUUUUACGCCCACUUGAUGGACAAGAAAACAAUAUGGAAAAAGUAUGAAAUUUGAUUUCUAGAUACUUCAAGUGGUAUAGAUCAUUUUCAACAGUGCCGAUCGUCGAUUUGGAGGCACCAUCAUCGAAAACAAAUGGGUGGCAACGGAGUCCGUUUGCUACUGAUAGUAUUCCAGCUCAACUCUAUAUAGAAUUAUGCUACUAUACUAUUAAUAGUACCAAACUCUUGAUACUAUUGAGUUUUCAGCCAUUGAAUGAAAGGAUGUACGGUUAGGAUGAUGGUGGUCUCCGGUUAAAUUGAUAGUGGUCCCCUAGGGUUGAGUGGGUGGUUGGUUCAAUAGUAUAAUCUAACGGGUGAAAAUGAUUAAAAGGUAGAUCUAACGAUAGAAAACUCAAUAGUACCAAAGGCUUGGUACUAUUGAUAGUAUAGUAGCCAGACUCAUAUAUAUAUAUAUAUAUACAUAUAUAUAUAUAUAUAUAUAUACAUAUAUAUAUACAUAUACAUAUAGAAUUAGACUGGAAUACUAUUAGUAGUAAAACACUCUUUUUGCUAUCAAGUUUUUAACCCUUGGAUGAAAAAUUGUAGGGUUAGGAUGAUAUUAGUCGGUUAGAGUUGAGUGGUCCUCCUAGGGUUGAGUGGUCCCUACUGGGUUAUAGUAUUUAAUCCAAUGGCUAGAAAUGAUGAAAAGAGUUGAUCCAAUGGCUAAAAAACUGGUAGCAACAAUAGAAUUUUGCUACUAAUAGUAGCCCAGUCCAACUCUAUACAUAUAAUAUAUAUAUAUAUUAUAGAUAUAUAUAUAUAAUAAGUUGAGCUAGAAUACUUCUAAAAGUAUUAUGAGGUUGUGCUUUUGAGUUUUUAACCAUUGGAUGAAAAAAUGUAAGGUUGGGAUGAUGGUGCUGGUAGUGGUAGGUGGAAUAGUGUUUGAUCCAAGGGCUAUUAGUAAUCAAUGAGUAGAUCUAAGGGCUAGAAAUCUAAAGCACCAAUUGGGUGAUACUUCUAAAGUAUUCUAGCUCAAUUAUAUAUAUAUAUAAUAUAUAUAUAUAUAUAUAUAUAAAAUUGAGCUAGAAAACUCUCAAAAGCACCAACCCCUUAGUGCUUUUGAGUUUCUAACCUUUGGAUCUAUUUCUUGAUUAUUAAUACCUUUGGAUCAAGCAAGCACUAUUAUCUCGGUCCUUUUGAUAGAGAGAGAAAUAAUAUAAAUUCUAAUAACUCUAGGUUGCAUAAUUUGUAGGCCAAAUAUAGAAUUUGAGAGUUUUGGUUCAUCCACUAAUAACUCUAGAUUACAAGGAAAAAAAAAAAAUCUAAAUUCUAAUAACUCCACGUUGCAUUGGUGGGUUCCAAAAUAUAUAAUUUGGAGGAGAAAAUUAAAUCUCGUCCUCGCCCUAACUUUAUCUAGUGUAGGCUUAUUAGUGGGUUUUUUUUAAAAUUUCUCUCUCUCUCUUUUUUGUGUGGUAUUUAUAAAUAGAUAACUUGCAGGUUUAUGGUCUGAUAAAUUUAUGUUAAAUAGCACAUGUAUUCUCUCUCCGAGGACAAGAUUAAAUUCGUCUUGUUUUAUGCCCAGUCUUAUUAUUACAUGCACAUUUGUUGUCAUUGCAAUUUUCACAAACACUUUUUGAUCAUCGUAGGUAGCAAAGUCAAUAAUCUCUAAUCUUCACUAAUAUUAUAAAAAAAUGCAGGAGUUGGAAAUUAUUGUUACAUAUGUAAGGCCAUAAAUUAUUUUUAAAUUUAAUUCAUACUUGAGUAAAGAAUAUUUUGAUUUUCAAACCUAGCUGAUUUUCCAAUCCGUUAUUUGUUGCUGUGAUCCUAAGUCAGUUUCAACAUUUUUUUUCUUGAUGGGUAGUUUCUUGCUGUUUUUUGUGUGAAGCAAAACAUACAAAAUAGAUGCUUUUGGGUUUUGAGCAAUAUAUACACACUUUUUAUAGCUGCAUUGAGGUUAGAAAAUUUUAUUAUUUGCUUUUGUUGUAAAAUAAAAAAAAAGUAUGGAUGCUUUUUCAGAGAAGAAAAAACUAAAUGAGUUAUUGGAGGGAAGCAAACUAGCAACUAGUAAUUCGCGUUUGUAAUAUUAUACAUAUUUUAAUCCAAUUAUAUUAUCGGUAUAAAUUGGGAUUCCAUCUGGAUUAAACUGACAUGACAUAUAAUCUUUCAAAUAGAAUUAGGCUUCGCACAACCCAAAUGCACGAACCUGAUUUGAAUAUUGGGCGAAACCUGUCCGGUUACAGUAUUUGUUCUAAAACAGGUGAAAUAUGUUUCGAAUAAAAUCUAAAUCGGUCCAAAACCGAUUCUAGUGGGUGUCAUUUAUGCAACUCCAAUAUCAAAUCUAUUCCUACUAGUUUUUCAAAAUCGGUUCUAACCGGUUUUAUAAAUCGGUUGAUCAUGUUGGCACAGCGUCGAUUAUCGUCAUUAGGAGAGGGUUGAUGAUAGUAAAUAUCAUGAAGAGAAGUGCAACGGGAAAGGUGUGGCGCAACAUACUCAACGUCAUUGCAUUUAGUCCCACAUCGCCUAUUGAAAUAUUUUCCAUAGUUCCGGGGGCUACAAAGGGAGUGGGACGUGGACCUUUCCUCCAUACUUACCUGGACGGGGUCUAUGGGUGAUCAACAAGGCUCAUGGCCUAGGCCCGCGGCCCACAUUGCACUCGGUGGGCGCGCUGGCCUACCAUCUCCCCAAGUGGGAGAGUGGACGUCAUAAUUUGUGGUAGAGGGGGUACGCGCCAUGCGCGGCCCCUGCCAAAUUCUGUAAUUCUAAUUUUUCAGCACUAAUAAAUAUUUAGUACAAUAUUUAUAUCAAAUUUGGAAAUUUUAAUUUUUUAAUAUUAAUAAAUAUUUAAGAUAAUAAAAGAGUUUGGCUAUGAUGAUUUUAAAAGCACAAAACACUUCAUAUUUGUAAAUUUUCUGCCAUUGGAUUAAAUUCUUUGAUCAUUUUUAUCCGUUUGAUCAUACUAUUUAACCAACUACUCAUUUAACUCUAGAGAACCACUUUUGUCCUAAUUGCACAUUUUUAAUCCACAGACCGAAAAUCUACAAGUACCAAUAACUUACAUUCUUAAUUAAAGGGUCGAAAACCUACGAGAACCAAUAACUUUAUACUUUUAAAAACAUAGGAGCUGAAUUCGAUAAUAAAAUAUUAUUUUAAUAUUAAUAAAUAUUUAAUUUAUAUUGAAUUAUGUGAAUUCCACAAUUCAAAUAUUUAAUGUUAAAAAAAUACUAAUAAACAUUAUUAAUGAGAUAUUUAAUUAUGUGAGGAUGAAAAAAAAAAAAGCUUUUAAUGGUAAUAAAAUGUUAAUAAAUAUUUAAUUAUGUGAGGGAUACAAAUUAAAAAAAGGGUUAAUCCAGUCCAAAAACACACUUUUUACACGGCGUCUUUCAUUCAUCAACUAUAUUAAUUAAUAUUUUGGAUAAUUUUGGGUUUGGAAAUGGUGUCCACUAAUUUUCUUUAUUUAUUAGUUUUUUCAAUUACCACCACUUAUGUUUGAUUGGGAACAAAACAAAACCAAAAAUUACUUUUGGUAUAAAACAUAUUUUUUCGCUUGUUCGAUUCAACGUAAAAUAAUUUUUUCAUAAAAAUAUUUUUAGAACUUUAGAAAAUAAUUGAGUUUUUUUGUUUUUAGCGGUUUUUCGGGAAAAAAAAAGCUCCCUAUCUCUUUAUAUUAAUGUAAUAUUUUAUAUUUAUAAUAUUUUUUUUUAUAAAUAUAUAUAUAUUAGUAGAGUAUACGCGCAAAUACAAGUAACAAAUAUUUUAAUAGUUAUCUCAAAUUAAUAUAAAUUUAUACAUUAUAUUUACUCAAAAAUUUAUAAUAUAAAAUAAAUUUAUUUAUUAUAUACUAUUUAAAAUAUCUGCCAUAUUCUAACUCAAAUUUAAUAGUUGUUGCCAAUAAUAAUUAUAUAGUUUAUUUUUUUAUUUUAUAAAAUUUAUAUGUAGUGUAGAUAAAUAUAUACACUGAAUCUUGUUUUAUAUUUUUUAAAUUCUGAUAAAUCUAUGUCACGCCUUGAAUUACUCGUUUUCCCGGCACGCUAACAGACUCGCUGUAUAUAGAGAAAUUUUUUCUGUAUACGAAACGAUAGCUGUACAUGUACCUAUAAUCAUACAAUACUACAACCAGUAAUAUAGAGCUGAUAAAAGAAAUACAUAUAAUAAUAUCGGUUCAACAUACAUACAUAGUAUCCUGAUACAAAAGCACUCGCUCCAGCGAGGAUCUAACAUUAGUAUGUACAAGAACCAAAACUAACACUAGCUGUAAUGGGUAUAUCUCUAGAUCGGCAGCAAUACUGGAAGGGAUCUAACUCGCGACUCCCUUUCUACGAUCUGUAUCCGAAACAGCAGCAGCCGAAGAAGAAGACUCUACAAAAAGGGUCCACUAACUGGGUGUGAGAACUACUGCAAAAAGAAUUAGUCCUCAGUUGGUACCGCUACCGACCUCAACGGCUCACCCACUAAGUCUAUAGAAGUAUGCUCAAAGAUAGUAUAGGAAGCUGAAACAAUUCUACAACUAUAUGCCACUAUAGUAUCAUGAUCCAACACUAACUAUCUGUAGAAAAAUACAAGUCCUGACCCAAUCUCAUUAGGGACUGAAAACACCCGUACCGCCUGUCGAAGCAAACCCGUACACUACCCCAUGAAUAGUCGGUGGAGAACACUCUCUAGGGACUGAAUACACCCGUCCCACCUAAUUAGGCUACAUCGUAGCUCAAGAGUAACCGGUGGAGAAAACUCUCUAGAGACUGUGAAUACACCCGUCUCGCCUAACUAGGCUACAUCGUAGCUCAAGAGUAGCCGGUGGAGAAAACUCUCUAAGGACUGUAAAUGCACCCGCCUCGCCUAACUAGGCUACACCGUAUCUCAAAGGUUGUCAGUCCAAGUAAAAAGGUCCGACAGGACGGUUGUGACUUCACUCACGUCACAACCUCACUGAAGGUAGAGAAAAGCGUCACUAACUAUCUCAUCUGGGCUGUCCAAAUGGACCUACCCUGUUUGUAUCCAGCUACGCAGUACACCACCCACGGGGGUGGCCGGCUCAAGAACUGUCCAAACAGAAACUGUGACCUCAUCGCACUGAACCCUCAUUCCGGAAUAACAUUCGUGGGCGCGACCCAACCGAGUUUACAAGUAUCUCUGCCAAGUUCAUUCAGGCUCUGACAGACUGUAAUCACUAUCAAAGGGUCAAACUGGUCUAACAACUAUAAUCUACGUGCCCUCGACACAAUCUGAUGCAAAAACAGCAAUCUGGGUCCACCGUCAACCGCAACGGCACCCGACAGUCUGGAACAGUCUAUACACUACUGUAAAAAUAAUCUCGGCAUCUCAGCACGAGCGUAAUUUCAUUCUACACUAUUCUGAAUAUCCACCGUCUACAAACUGCGGCGAUACAAACAAACUACAGCUACUAAAGCUAAAUCUUGUAGUUUUAAGAAAAUGGCAGUGUAGAGGUUAAGGUUUUCUCCUAAGUCAAAUCCAAAUCCAACAUGUAUAGUCAAUCUAGCAAUUCUAAGCUCCAAUUCAAAUUUUAUUUAUAAACAAUGCAAAUCUACGAAUCGAGCUAUUAAACAUGAUAUCCAAAAUCCAAUAAUACAUGUUGUCAACUGAAGCUUAGGAGGAAAUCCGAAAAUUUCGUUAGCUUAACAUCAACCCACCUCAAAAACUAAUCCAACUCCGGCGAGAAGUCGAUAGGAGAGGAACCACGCACUCGCCUGGCCUCCCAACGAUGCAACUAUGACGCACGUACGCUCAAACGGCUUCCCGCCACGGCGUCGGCGUUAAUCCGAACUCCAACCGCGACCACCACCUCAAGUGCGAUCAAAAACUAGAGGGAGAGAGAGAACAACAAGCCAAAACCCAUUCUCCACGCUCUCUUCAUGUAUAAGAAGGCUCGGGAGGCAUUGGUUUGAACGAUACAACAAAAGACCAAAAGGCCCCUUACCUACCCUGGAGUACCGGUACCAAGCUGAUGCCGUACCAGUACCCCGUAUCAGAAGUUGCAACCCGAGAGCAGCAGUACGCAGAAUACGCUGGAGUACCGGUACGUCCCUGUGUGGUACCAGUACGAAAUGCUGAAAACCUGCAAGUUGCAGAUUUCAAAUGCUAGAAUUCUGCUCUCACGACGCAACGAGUCCGUUUUGCAUCUCUUUCGCGCCAAAACGACUCGAAUUUGUCCCGACACUCCAUAUGUGUCGACAAGUCCCAGAUGCAGAACUCUCAUAGCUGCAGAACACUAAGGAUACUAUAAUCUAAAAUUUAAAUAUAUAUUUUUAAACUAAAAGUAUCAAAAUUAAAAAAUCAAUAUAAUAAUAAAAUAUUAGUAGAUAGAAUUGGGAUAAUAUAUAAAUAUUUAUUUUAAAAAAAGAUAUUGAAUGAUAAAAAUAUUUAAUAAAAAAAUAAAAUAUUAAUAGUUGGAGAAAAAAAAAAGAACUAAAAGUUUGUUUCGUUGUAUUAUUUAUUUUGCAUAUGAAAAUAGAGAAAAUUUGAAAUGGGUGUAUCGACGGAUCGAAAUUUUAUAUAUAGCAUAGAUACAUAGUGAAGCGAAAUAAUUAUUUCGGAUUUGAAUUCGGUUUUUGAAUGUUUUGUCAAGUUCGAUAUUAACUUUCAAGAUAUGUUGGUUUCGAAUUUGGGUUCGAGUUUCAGGUUCUGAUUUUGGAUUCGGUUUCGGAUUUUGAAACACAUGAAUGGUGCUCUCUCUCUCUCUCUCUCUCUCUCUCUCUCUCGAUCGAGCUGUUUGUUGAGAGAAAGGCCCAAUUCUGGCCUAUUGGGUCGAACCAAAUUUUGGGCUGGGUCCGAUAAUGGGCUGGGUCCAAUAAAUGCCUCGCCCUGGAUUUUUCGGUGAAGCCGAGAUGAAGCAUAUGCCUCUGGAUGCUGAUUCUCGUCAUGUUUUUAUUGGAAUAUAAAGCCAUCCAGCUACGAGCCCUUGAAAUGAUAUUAGUGAUUGAGCAAUUCUUCCCCUCAAAGAUCACCUCGUUCCUUUCCUUCACACAGCUCCACUCGUUCCAGGAUAUAUAAUUUGGAAGGGAAAAUUAAAUCAGGCUCUUGUCUUAAUUUUACCUAAAUUUAUGGGGUUUUUUUUCUCUUUAUGACUUGAAGGUUUAUCGCCAGAUAAAUUUAUGUUAAAUAACAUAAAUGUAUUAAUUCUCACUCCGACGAUGAGAUUAAAUUCGUCCUAUAUUGUGCUCAGUAUUGUGAUUACAUGUACAUUUGUUGUCACGCACAGCUAAAUAUUCACGUAGUUGGAAUACAUACGCUCCAAACUUGCAAUUUCAUAAACAUUUUUUGAUUAUCUUAUAUAGCAAAGUCAACAAUCUCUAAUCUUCACUAGUACUAUAAAAAGAUGCAAGAGUUGGAAAUUGCUAACUUAUUUCUAAAUUUAAUUUAUACUCGAAAGAAGAUUAUUUUGAUUUUCAAACUUAGCCAUUCUCAAAUCCCUUAUUUGCUGUUGUGAUCCUUGAUGAAGUAGUUGCAUUUUCUACUAGGCAUAAUGGGCACUAACACGGAAUACAAGACACGGUACGAUCCGGAGACGAUGACUCGAUAACUUUUAAAAAAUUAGGAUGCGGGUACGGCAUGGACAACACUAAUAAAAUAUAAUAUUAUUGAUAUAAUAAUAUAUAUUUAUUAUAUGUAAAAUAUUAAUUUUGGUAAAAUAUUGUUAUAUUUUUCAUACGAAUUGAAAUUAGUAAAAUUUUCGUUAAUAGUUCAUAUAUUUUAGAGUAAACUUCAAAUACCACCAUAUAAUUUCGUACUUUCUUACUUUAGUACCCUAUGGUUUAAAGUGUAUAAAUUUAGUGCCAUGUGGUUUUACUUUAUUUUUAGGAAAAACUUCAAAAACCCUCCCUGUGGUUUCAUAGUUUCUCACUUUGCCCCCCCUGUGGUUUAAAAUAUAUCAAUUUGUCCCCCUGUGGUUUCUUUUUUCUCUUUUUCUUGUCAAUUUUAUUAUUUUUUUUCUUAAAUUAGUGAUAAAGUUAAAAUUAAAGGGUACUAAAGUGAAUAUUUGAUAAAUCUAGAUAGGUAUCUGAAGUUUUUUAUAUAUAAUUUAAUGAAAUAUUAACGAAAAAGCUACCGGAAAGAUAAAAGCGAAACCACAGGGGGGCAAAUUGAUACGUUUUAAACCACAGGGUACUAAAGUGAGAAACGAUGAAACCACGGGGUUUUUUUUGAAGUUUUUCCUUUUUUUUAUCAGCUUCUCCAUUAAUAUUUUGUUAAAUUAAAUACGAAAAACUUCAGAUACCCCAUCUAGGUUUAUUGAAUAUUCACUUUAGCACCUUUUAGUUUUAACCUUGUUACUGAUUUAAGAAAAAAAAUUCAUAGAAUUGAUAAUAAAAAAAUAAAAUAAAGUCAUAGCGCACUAAAUUGAUACACUUUAAACUAUAGGGUACUAAAGUGAGAAAGUGCGAAACCAUACGGGUGAUAUUUGAAGUUUUUCCUCUAUUUUAAGAAAAAAAAAACUCUUUACCAUACAUAGUAUUUAUAUCGUCCAAAAAAAAAAUUAUAUGCAUUCAUCAAAAAAACUAAAAUAUUUAUCAUUUUACAUUAUAUAUGAAAAAUAAUAUAUAUAUAUAUUAUUAUAUAUAUAUAUAUAUAUAUAUAUAUAUAUAUUAUAUUAUAAUAUAUAGGCUCCUAUGCUUUCGAAAGUACGGGGGCCCGUGGUUGUAAGUUGUGUUCGAUGAUGGGACAUCCGAUUUGGCGAUCGGUUUCGUUAAACUUGAUCUCGCUAUUGGACUAUCUAGAAACCAAAUUUCUAUUUUUGAUUUCGUUUGUCUAGUGAACGAGUAGCCUUAAAAUGAACGGCUGAAAAUGAAAAUCUCAUAAAAACAGUGAUAAGGAUUCAAAUUUUAAAUUGGAAGUUUGAUCUUGCUACUGAUGUUAAGUAGAAUUUUCUAUUAAUUUUCAUGUAAUUUGGAUAUUUCUACACCGUUGACUUAAAAAUGUACAUAUCGACCGUUAAAAUAGUCAUUUUUUAGACUUUUUGAUCGCUUAGUAAAUGAUGUCAAAAAAAUUUAAUUUGGUUUCUAGAUAAUUCCAAUAGGGUAGAUCAUACCUAAUGGGCCGAUCGUCGAAUCGAACGUCCUAUAUCGAAAACAACUUACAAGCAUGGGGCCUCGUACUUUCGAAAGUACGGGGGACGGACUCUCUCUCUCUCUUCUUCUCUCUUCUCUCUCUCUCUUCUCUAUAUAUAUAUAUAUAUAUAUAUAUAUAUAUAGUCCGGCUGCUAUCUAUCGGUAGCACGGAGGCUUCCGUGCUACAAAGUUGUUUUCGAUGAUGCGGCUUCCAAAUUGGCGAUCGGCUCCGUUAAACUUGAUCUACACUAUUGAAAGUAUUUGGAAACUAAAUUUCAGAUUUUUCGACAUCAUUUGGUUAGUGAUCAAAAGGUCUCAAAUUGACAAUUUUAAUGUGAUGUAAUACAUUUGUAAAUUUAACGGUAUAAAACAAUCCAAAUCAGAUGAAUUUUUUAUAGAAAUUCUUUUACUAUUUAGAGUAAGAUCAAUAUCUCUGAUCUUAAAUUCAAGUCUUCUAUCAUCAUUUUUUAUGAGAUUUUUACUUUCAGCGUUCAUUUUUAGAUUACUCGUUUGAUAGGUAAAUGAUACGAAAAAUUAUGAAAUUUAGUUUUUAAAUACAUUCAAUAGUGUAGAUCAGGUCUAACGGAGCCGAUCGUUGAUUUGGAAGCGGCAUCAUUGAAAACACUUGGUAGCACGGAGGCGUUCGUGCUACCGAUAGUUAACAGCUCUCUCUCUCUCUCUCUCUCUCUCUCUCUCUCUUUAUAUAUAUAUAUAUAUAUAUAUAUAUAUAUAUAUAUAUAUAUAUUAUAUAUAUAUAUGCGCUAUGUAUCGGUAUUGAACGUGCACCCAAAAAAUGUCAACAUCGGACACGAGUCCGACACGGACAUGCACAUAUAUUUUAAAAAAUAUUCUCUAUCAUACAUAUUUUAUUUAUAUUGUCCAAAAAAAAUUAUAUAUAUGCAUCAAAAAGCUAAAGUAUUUAUCAUCUAUGAAUAAAAAAAAAGUAAAAUAAAAAUAUGUAUAUAUAUAUUUUUAAUUAUAUACGCCAUGUAUUAGCAUUGAAAACGCGCUCAAAAAGUAUCCACAUCGGACAUGAGUCCGACACCGGCAUGUGUGUGUCCGACACGGACAUGCUAGGUUUUAAAAGUGUCCAUAAUACAUAGAUUUUGUGUGAACCAAAGCAUACAAAAUGAAUGCUAGCUUUUGGAUUUUGAGCAGUAUAAAUACACUUUUAUACCCAUUUUUUCGUUGCAUUUUGUGUGAACCAAAGCAUACAAAAUGAAUGCUUUUGGGUCUUUUGAGCAGUAUAAAUUCACUUUUAUAGCUGCACGGAUUGUAGAAAAUUUCAUUAUUUGUUUUUGUUGUAAAAUAAAAAAGAAGUACAGAUUUUUUUUGGGCAAGAAAAGUCUUAAUAAGUUAUUGGAGUAAAGCAAACUAGCAACUAAUGCUGAGAGGCUGUUUGGUUCUCUUUAAAAUCGUCCGGAAAACAAAUUUUCAAUGGAAAAGUAUGGUUCCGAGCGUUUGUUUGUCCGUAAAAAAAUUUUUUCAGAAAACUUUUUUUACAAAUCUGAGGAAAACGGAGGUUUUCGUUUGUCGCUCGCGACGUUGGGAGGGGUGGGGUUCACACGCGCGCAGUCCACGAGGCGCACCCCACCUCGUGGACCGCGCGAGAGAGAUCCCGCAAUGGACCUCUCUCCCCAACUUCUUUUUUUAUGUAUAUAAUAUAUAUAAUAUAUAUAUAUAUAAAUAUAUAUUUAUAUAUGUAUACUAAUUUCGUUAAUGGUAUACUAAUUCCGUUAUGCAUUCAGAUAAUGGUAUAUUAAUUCCGUUAUGUGUUAUUUUAACGGAUCAGGAAUAUUUUGGUGCGGAUGACAUAUUUUACGCCUGCAGUUGAAAGGAGAGCUCCACUGAAGCCUUGUAAUGUCUCGGACUCAUCGCAACCCGCCGAUGACGAGGAAUUUGCGAGGCAUGGAUGGCGACGAGGAUGAUGGUGACUUCCGGUCGCGAUUCCGAGAUAAUUGAUACUAAAAAAGGUAAGAGAAGAGAAAUGGGGAUAGAGAGAGAUGAGGAAAUUGAGUUAGAGAGACGAGGAUUGGGGGAUUAGAAGCAGAGAAGAGAAGAGAAGAAUUAGGAAAGAGGAGUGUAGGGAAGGAGAAGAAGUUUUGGGAAGAAGAGACUAAUUUUCUUUCAUUGAUGCCCUUCUCUCGUUAGUUACAUUUGCUUUACUUUUGGAGGUUCUUGCGUUCCCAUAUCAAAAUGGAAAUUGUGUGUGCCGCUGCACCUAGUCUCUCGGUGUUCGCCGCUGUCUCCAUCUCUUCUCCCUCUAAUUCUCUGUGCGUCUUCCACCAUCUCUAUCUCCUUUCCCUCUCUCCUUCUCUCGUGCUCUCUCUCUCCAUUUUCUGGUUUCUUUCCAUUUCAAUUUCGUCUCUCUCCUACUCUCCUGUUCUCUCUCCCGUGCUCCCUCUCUCUCCCCUGAUCUCUUGAUUCACCUCGCUCGUGUUCAAGAGCUCGUUCUCUGUUUCUUAAUUGAGCAAUGAAGAGGAAGAGAGGGAACGGUGGACGUGGGGCGGGAAUGCAUUUUUCUCUUUAAAAGAGAUUUAUUUAUAUACCCUCAAUUUUCUCAAAAUAUCUUAUGUAAUUUUUUUUUAAUUUUAAAUUAUAUCUCUCGUUAUAUUUUUCUUGUAAUUGGCUCUUAAAUUUCUAAAAAAAUUAAAUAAUUUUAUUUGAAGAAUUUAAGAUUUUUUUUUUUUUUGAAUUUCAAUAAAUUAAAUAUUUUAAAUUAUUUUAGCACAUAAAACUGCACUAAUUACUGAUUUAUUUUUAAAGAAUAAUUAAAUUUAAUAAACAUUUAGAUUUAAAUUGCUGGGAUAUAUAAAAUCAAAUAAAAAAAAAUUUAAACCAGAGGGUGCCGGAGUUUAGGUACUUAUUUCAAAAUAUUCUAUGGUCGAGACGUUCUUAAUUAAUACUUCUUUACCAAUCAUAUGGAAGGAAGACGGGACCGUUGGUAUGGACCAAAAGACAAAAAAAAGGUCGAGAACGUUGAUAUUUGUGUAAGAGCUUGAGAACGUUGAUAUUUGUAUAAGAGCUUGAAUGGUUUAUUAUUAUGCUAAAUUUUAAGAUGAAAAAAUAUCAGUGAAAAUGCCUAUGGAAUAAUAUGCUUUUCCGGCUUGUAUCAAUAUUUUUAGAAGUUUGUGUUCCUUGGUACUGCUAUGGUGUAGAUGUGCGUUUCACCGUUUUGAACCUCUCGGUUCUUUUCUGUUCUUUUUUUCAACUACAGUUUUUAGCUUUACUUUUCUACAGCGUAAAUAUUUGAUAAUAGAGAUACUAUGUCAACUUGAUGAUAUAUAUCAGCGUACCAUUUUCGUCCCCCUCAAUCUUAACAGUAUUGUGAAUUAAUAUAUCCUUAUGCAUUAAUCAAAUAAAUUCUAUUAAGAGUAAUUAUUAUCUUAAAAGAAAAAUAUUUAUCAAACUAACUAAUCGAAUUCGAGCUCCGAAAAAUUUAUAGUUCAAACAAAAAAUUAAACAAAUAAUUCAUACGUACAUGAAUUUCUUGGUAAAGAUCUUGGUCUUGGAGGUUAUUGCACUCUCGUAUUAGAAUGGAAAUUGUAUGUGCCGCUGCACGUAGUCUGUCGGUGUUCUCCGCCAUCUCCAUCUCUUCUUCCUUUCUCAUACUCGCGGUGUUCGCCACCAUCUCCGUCUCCUUUCCCUAUCUCCUGCUCUCUCGCUCUCCAUCUCCUGGUCUCUUAUUUUCCAUUUAAAUCUCAGUCUCUCUCCUUCUUUCCUGCCCUCUCUCUCCUGUGCUCCCUCUCUCUUUCUCCUGGUCUCUCUCUCCCCUGGUCUCUCUUGGUCGCUCUCUCUCUUUUUCUUUAUUCAGCCAGGAAGGCACCAAUGCAUGUUUAUAAAGGGAUAUUUAUCUAUAUACCUCUCAAUUUUCUCAAAAUAUUCUAUAUAACUCUUUUUUUUUAUUUCAAAUUAUCUCUCGUUAUAUUUUUCUCGUUAUUGACUUUAAAUUUUUUUUAAAAUUAAAUAAUUUUAUUUGAAGAACUUAAGAAUUUUUUUAAAUUUUUUGAAUUUCAAUAAAUUAAAUAUUUUAAACUAUUUUUAGAACAUAAAAACUGCAAUAAUUAAUGAUUUAUUUCUAAAGAAUAAUUAAACUCAAUAAACAUUUAGAUUUAACUUGAUGGGAUAUAUAACUCAUAUUAAAAACCAGGGGUGCCGCAGUUUAGGGACCUGUUUCAAAAUAUUCUAUGGUUGAAGGGUUCUUAAUUAAUUAGUGUAUCUUCACCGAUCAUAUAUAAGGAAGCCGAGACCCUAGGUACCCCUUAACUGUUGAAAGUCUAGACAAUCCGAGCCUAGGCUUGGUUGCACCUUGUCUCAUAAGCUUCACGAUCGGAUCCGUCGCUCACGGCCACCCAAUCCGUUAACUGGACUUAAAUACUUCCUUCCAACUAGGGGUGGAACUGAACCCAGGCCUAAACAAGGCCCGGCGCGAUUGGCCAUGUUUGGGCGGGGCUUUGGGUGUUAAAAACAAAACUUUGCGUUUAGCCCGAGCUUAACAAUUUAGGCCCAAAAAUAUUUUGGGCCUAUUUAGGUAUGUCCAAGCCCGCCCCGAGUCUGACCCAAAAGUCCGAUAUAUUAAUUAUCAAAAUAAGAUACUUAAUUUCAUAUAUAGGCUAGGGCUACUAUACUCUUAUGAGUAUAGUCCCCUUUGUACUCAUAAGUUUCUGACCAUUGGAUGAAGAAAUGUGCGGUUAGGAUAAUAGUGGUCCCCAGUUAGGUUAAUAAUGGUCCCUUAGGGUUGAAUGGGUGGUUGGUUGAAUAGUAUAAUUUGACGGGUGAAAAUGAUCAAAGAAGUAGAUCUAACGACGAAAAACUUAUGAGUACAUAAGGGACUAUACUCAUAAGAGUAUAGUAGCCGGACUCUAUAUAUAUAUAUAUAUAUAUAUAUAUAUAUAUAAGGAAUAAAUGAAUAAAUGAUAUAGUAUAUCAUAUAAAGUAUAUAAUGUUAUUAACGAUAUAUAUUUAUAUUUAUAUAUAUUUGAACAUAUUAUAUAUUAACAAAAUAUUUAGUUUCAUAUUAGAAUAUAUUAAAUAGUAUUAUUAUAUAUAAUUAAUUAAUUAUACAUAUUUAUUCAGUACAUAUUAUUAUACAUAAGUAGGGCUACUAUACUCUUAUGUGUAUUGGACCCUUAAUACUCAUAAGUUGUUUUCGAUGAUGGAGCUACCGAAUCGACGAUCCACUCCGUUAAAUAUGAUCUAGAGUAUUUGAAACUUCUAGAAAAUAAAUUUUGUAAUUUUUCAAAAUCAUAGUAAAGUCCAUCAAACGGGCAUAAAAUAAACGGUCAAAAUCGAAUGAUGUCUUAAAAAUGAAUGAUCGGAUCCUUCAAUUUAAGAUCGGAGUUAUUGAGAAUAGAAUUUUCUAUCAAAAAUUCAAUCUAUUCAGAUUCUUUUGCACCGUUAAACUAGCAAGUAUUUCAUACCGGCCGUUAAAAAUUAUCAAUUUUGUGAGUUUUAGAUCGUAAGGUAAAUGAUGUCGAAAAAUUAAUUAGACAUUCUAAUUAGUUUAAAAAUCAAUUUUGUGAGCUUUUGAUCGUACUCAUAAGAGUAUAUAACUAAUUAUUUAUGUACAUAACACAUAUUAAAUAUAUAUUAUUUUAAAAUUUUCAAAAAAUUAAUUAGUCGUUCUAUGUACAUAACUUAAGGAUAAUUUUAAAAUUUUAAAAUACCACAAUGCUACUUUAAAAAAACCACAUACGCCCUAAUUAAUUAAACGUUCUAUAUUUCUGCUCUUACAUGAGAAGUUCCUACUUUACAUAGGUGGAUAAUUAUUGAUAGAUAUUAAUGGUAUUAUAUUUGAUGUUAGAUACUAAUUUUUUUGAUGUAAUCAAACCUCAAUAAAAAUAGAUAUUUUAUUUUAAUUUUAUACAAUAAAAGCAUUUAUGUUUUAUAUGAUGAAUAGAUAAAAUGGGCCUCCACAGAGCCCAAUGGGUAUUAGGCAUUGGGCUUGGGCUUGGACAGCGCUUAAAUUUCAAAAAAAAAUUUCAGAAAAAGUCCGAUCCGAAGCCCAACAUUUUUUUUUUGACUAAGCUUGGGCAUAGUAUUACCCGACCCAAGCCCGGCCCAGUUCCACCCUACUUCCAACCCCUUGUUGCUUAGAACCUGUCGGCUCCUCGAUUUGCUCCAGAUGAACCUAAGCUGUUGCCUUCUCGUUCCCCGCUGCUGUGACCUCCGUUCGCCAUGGCUGCUAUCCUCCAUAAGCACUCUUCCUCAGAUCUCCAUAAGCUCUUUUUCAACUCUUAUUCUUUUAUCCCCUUCUAUUACCUUCUAUUUUACUACCUACUUAGCAAUGGCUCCACACUUUACUACUAUUCAGGAUGUUACAAGCCUCUUGUGAGAAAAGCACGAAACCCUAACGAUAAUCAUUAUUCUUUGGUUCGGAUAUAAGUACCCAAACACCAUUUUGCGCACUGGGAAAUAGUAGUUCUCCUCUCUGGGGAAUAAGCUUUCAUUCUUCCCCCUAGAACAAGCGCUUAUUUAAAGUCUAUAAAUCUACUUCUAAUUAGUUAUUAAAUAAGUAAUUAAUUUAAUUAAUAUCUUUAAGUCAUUAUCUAUUUCUUAAAUAGUAAAGUAGUUUAACUAAUUUAUUAUUUAUAAUUAACUAGAUAAUUAAAAAUUAAUAGUUUAAUAUUUUUAUCCAAUAAUAUUUUGGCUAAUCUACUUAAUUUCUUAACUAAUUAUCUAACUAAAAUAAUUUACUAAGUAAUUAAAAAGUUAAAUUAUUUUUUAAAUUAAUUAAUUAAUUAAUGUAUUAAUUAACUAAUUAAUUUAGUAAUAUUUAUAAUUAAUUAAUUAGGUAAAUAUUUUUAUUUUAACUUAUAUUUAUUCUUAUUUCCGCUAUUCCAAAAUCAUCCAAAUGCUAUUUUUAUUAUUCUAAAAAAUAAUCUAAUUUUCAUCUAAAUACAAAAUUGAUUUUAUUCCUACUUAUUCCAAAAGUUACACUUAUAUCAGGAAUAAUCAAGAACAGUUUAUUUCCGAAUCAAACGUUAGCUAGAAGACUACACUGGAAAUCGUAAGCAUUUGCUUAUAGUUGUUGCAUAUCUUUUGUGCUCCGACAUUGUCGAAAGAAUGUUUGAAAUUAUUUUUACCACAUCGAAUGUAUUUAAGAUCAGUAGAGAUGGUGCGACAAUAACCGCGCGCCCGAGAAGCUUAUUAUGGUAUUCUGAAGAUAUUUUCGACCGUUUAGAGUUUUCCAAUCUUGGGCUUUUUUGGUUAUCUUUCUAAAAUCAUUCUGUUACUUGUAGUUCUUUUGAGGUGCAGUUUUAGUAUAUUUGAGAUUGUGUAAUCUUGCAGCUUUUUUUUUUGUUACUUUGGAGUGUGCAUGAGCUAAACUUCAGUUUAUCACAGUUGGAUCAUGUGGUUGGCAUACAUACACUCCAAAAUUGCAAUCUUCACAAACACUUUGUGGUCAUCUUAGAUUGCUACUCUCUUACUUCACUAGUAUUAUAAAAAGAUGCAUUAGUUGGAAUUGUCAUUAAUAAUAUAUGACCGUAAAUUACUUCUAACUUUAAUUCAUAUCCAAGUAAAGAAUAUUUUGACUUUCAUACCAAACUUAUUCUCCAAUCCGUUAUGUGCUGCUGCGAUUCUAGUCAGUUUCAGUAUCUUUUUCUUGAUGGGUACUUUUUUCUGUUGCAUUUUGUGUGAGGGAAAGCAUAGAAAAUGAAUGCUUUUGGGUUUUGAGUAGUAUAAAUACACUUUUAUAGGCCGUACUAAUGAUAGAAAAUUUUAUUAUUUGCUUUUGUUGUAAAAUAGAAAAGAAGUAUGGAUUUUUUUUUGAGAUGAGAAAAGAUAAUGAUUUAUUGGAGGAAACCAAACUUGCACCUAUAGUGAUUAGUGUUCGCAAUAUUGCAUAUUUUAAUUCGAUUGUAUUAUUUGUAUAAAUUACAAUUCCGAACAGGUUGACUAAACAUGACUUAUAUUUUUAUAAAUAGAAUUGGACUAGGCAUAGCCAAGAGGUAAGAUCCGAAUUUGAAUUUCGGUGAAAUGGUUCCGCCUACAAUUUUUUGUUCCAAACCAGUUAAGAUCUUUCCGAGCAAAAUCUGAACCGGUUCUAAAAUUGGUUUGACUGGGUAUUGUUUAUCCAUAUUUAGUGUCAAAUCAUUCCCAACCAAUUAAAAAAAAUCACUUCUAGCUAGUUUUGUAAAUCAGUUAGUCAUCUUUGCAUUGUGUGGCGGUAAAUAUUAUCGAAAAAAGCACAACGGGAGAGGUCUAGAAUUGUAGAGACUAGAAUUGUAGAGAGACGCUCCAAGGGCAGGCAGCCCAGUAUUGCACGGUCAAAGGCAGAACAGCGAGACACUUCAAAGGCUCAGAAUUGCAAUAAGAAAGUGUGAAAUCAAUCGAAUUGAAAAUUUUGAUCCUUCGGAAAAAUGUAAAACUGGAACCAAACGGGUGUAUGAAAAAAUGAGAUUGUCAGUUCGAUUUUAAUUCAGUUCAGUUCAGUUAACAUUUUUUUCCUGUUCUGAUGAAUACUCCUAUUCAAAUCCGUCUUAUGCUAGACUGGGCCACCUUUUUCCACCCCUAGUCCGAACUAGUCUUGCGGAAAAUUUAUCACAAAUAUAUUCACUUCGAAGGCCCCAACUCUUAAAAUUAUGCAGAAUUUUUUUUCCAAAAAUCUUCAAUGGUAAUUUUUUUCUUUCUACUAUCACAAAUAAUAUAAAAAAAAUAAAAAAGUCAAUUUAUCUCAUUUAGUAAUCAGAGUUAAGUAUUUUAUCAUUGGUUAACUAUAUUUUUCUAAUAGAUACUAACAACGGGAGUAUAUUUGAAAACGUUAAGAAUUUUGUAGGAAUAAAUAUGAAAAGUUUUUUUUUUUUUUUUUUUUUGAGAGAUAGGUAGGGUACCAACCACCAAGCCCUUUACCACUUGCUCUAGGGACAAUCAGCAAUAAAUAUGAAAAUUUGAACUUUGUAAGGAUAUAUAUAUUUGCUAUUCAAUAUACAAGAAGCCGGAUGUAAUUGAUCCUAUUAAAUAAGCCGAACAUGAGCUGACUCGUUAAAAUAUCGAGCUAAAAAUUCAGCUUAUAUUCGCCUUGUUUAUUAACAAGCCAAACACGAGCUGGCUGACACACCACAUGCUAGAUUGUCAGCCCUACUAUGGCUUAUUUUCUUCGAGCUUGAACACGAUUGGAUUUUUUUUUUCUCCCGAGGUCCCCACGUGAGACAUAAUCAGAUCCAGCCUUCAAUUUGAGGGACACCAGAUGACUGACGAAUCAAAUUGCAUCAUGCAUCGGGUCGCGAUUUCCCCACCAACAAAGACUUAAAGAUAUCAAGACACAACAAUAUUUUUAUAUUUCUAUCUAGACACAACGGAAUUUUUGUGUUACCACUACUUGACUAGCCAAUCCGAUAAGUAAUUUUGCUACAUCGUCUUCAUCAUUCUAGUGUUCUUUACAAAAUUCGCCUGCAACUAGUCUAAACUCAAUAUUUACUGAUGCGUACGUCUUGCGUUUCUAGUUAGCAAUAAAUUGUGACAUAGUUUUUGGCUGAGCAAUCAAACGCACUGGUACUGUAAUAAAACUACUUUCUGGGGAUGGUUAAUUAAACUAAAAUUAAAACCAAAUAUUGAGAAAAACAUCCUAAAUUCUAAUAGCUGUAGGUUGCAAAAUUAACUUAUCGGCCAAAGUUCAAUUACUUGGAAUUAAGGGACGUGUAAUUUGGAGUUCAAAAUUUAAUUUGGCCGGCGUCCUAACUUUUGUGUAGGUUCUUUUUUUCAGUUUUCUUCUGAAAGGACUCGGUACUUCUUUCGGCCUGUAGGCGUACAUUCUUAGUGUGAGAUUCCAGAUAAUUCUAUAUAUAAAAUAUAAUAGAGUUAAAAUUCUUAACCCAGCAUAAGUAUUUUGGGUGGUAAUUAGGCCUAAAAGGUUAAGAGAAUUAAACGUUCUAGGACGAAAGUAAUACUACAAUGGGUGAACCCUAGAAAGUCGGGGCAUCACACUUAGAGCCAACUUGGCUAAUCCUGGUGGUAUGUCCUUAAUAGAUGAUUUAAAGGUAAUGUUGGAUUUUAUUGGAUUUGAUUGUAAUUUAAAACUUGUUUGUUAGGCCUCUUGGGAGCCCAAUAAUUAUUAAUGGGCUUUGCUUGAGAGCCCAACUAAAGUUUUCAUGUGUGAGGUUUAAUUCCACAUUGAAAACUAAAAGGGUGUUGUUGGUAUAUAUAUAUAUUUCUUUAUUCUCAAGCUACUUGCUUGGGAGAAAAUGAGAGUUAUGCUCUCGUUUAAACACACGCACGACACGAGCACGAAUCGAGCCGGGCCGGAUGGGCGGCGGCGCGCGCGGUCCAUACACCCGGUUUAUUUUAUUUUAUAUCUUGUUUUUCACGAAUUUGACGCGAUUUGACGCAUUGAAGCAAUAUUCUCGCAUUGGUUAUAUAUAUUGGAAGAGAUUGCGUGAGUUCAAUAAGAUCCCAAGCAUAUCUAAACCCUACCUUGUCUUUCUCGCCGAGUUUUCUUUUGCUGGAUCUAAAACUGAUUUUUCUUUUGCUGGAUCUAAAACUAGUUGGGUUAGUCUUACGCCACCUUAAAAGCGUGCCGACGAAGUGGAACGUGGUUGUUGUAUCGUUAGGAGUAAUUGUCGGUAAGACUCGCACGUUAAGGGGCAAUUUCGCUUCUACGACAGUGCUCUAUACGCCUCGAUCCAUAAGCCUUAUCUAAACUUUUUCUUUACAGUAUUUGUUAUUUAAUUUUUUUUCGGAAUUUUUCUAAACCUGAAACUAAACUUUCGAAUUAGUUUUUAAAAAAUAUUGUAAUAAAAGAUCAGAAAGAUUUUUCAAUAAUUUUGUCUAAUAAAUUUAUGUGAAAUAGAAUAUGUAUUCUCACUACAUGAGUGACGAACUUUCAUUCUUUUAAGUGAAUUGGCAAUUCUUUUCUAGCAGAAAAUUUUGAAUUUACUAUCUGCUGCUGCUGAUGAUCAAUCACCUCAAAAAUUUAUGUGAAACAGAGUUAUAUAUUAUAUAUAUCAUAUAUAUUUAUAUACGUAUAUAUAUAUAUAUAUAUAUAUAUAUAAUAUUUAUAUAUUAAUAGUUGAGCUAGACUUACUAUCGAUAGUAAAACUAGCGUUUUACUAUCCUAGUUUGUUUUCGGAUGAUUAGAGCUUCCUAAUUGCGAUCGGCUCCAUGAACAUGAUUCUUAUAACCUUGAAAAGUGUUUAGAUCAAUCACGUGUUGGUCUCGACCUCGAAACAUUGAGUACGCUUAUGCUUACUGUUUGUAGUGGCUAUAAAAACCUUGACAAUAGCUUGUCUGGGAUUCAAUGAGCGAACAUGAACAAAAAAAACAAAAAAAAAAAACGCACAAAAAAAUAAAAAAAAAAAAAAUAAAAAGUUGUCCAAUUUGUAUUUCAGCCUCGCUAAUAUUGUUGAGCUGAAAAAUAUAAUCGUGUAUCGGACUUUUUAAUAGAUGAGCAAUCGUCUUGACUCAUUUCGAGCAUAACAUCAAGCUGAGGUACGAUGCAAGUGAGGUGCGAUUGUUAGCCCUACUUACUAUUGUUGUCUUAGUUUUUUAAGUCUCGUUUUUUCUUGAGCGCAGUUAGUUUUCUUGUCACUUUUGUGUGAACCAUAAUGCACACAAAUGUGAAUGCUUAGGUUGUGAAAUAUAAGCACACUGCUUUUAUAGCUAAUGUCUAUAAUAGAGAUGUAUUUAUAUAUCUGCUUUUGAUGGAAAAGAUAUGAAACACAUUUAUGAAUUUUUUUUUUUUUUGAAAAGGUAGCACGUUCCUGGCUGUCGAUUCAUUAAAGUAAAAUGAAUUAGGUACAAGGGCUGAGGAUCGAGGGCCUCGAAAGAGGAAAAUUAAUAAGAAAGCCAAAAAAAAAAAAAUAAAAAAUAACAAAUAAAAAUAAAAAUAAAAAAUCACGCACCAAAGCCGAGGUGGCAGGGCUUUAGAUAGUGUGCGAACAAUCUCAGGAAUUUCAUCAGUCCUUCAACCGUAUAACCCACGGAGGGGAGGUCAGCUUGGAUGUUUCGAAAAAAAUCAGAUCGUUUAGCCUUCCACAUAUCACAGCGACGCAGCCAAUAAGAGAGUCGUCAUGCUCGUAUUCGUAUCUUCAUUUCUUAACGACCACUAUCCCAGCUUAUGAAGAACAUCUGUCUUCCAGCUUGUCGCGUUGAAUACCCUUCUAUCGAUCUACAUGAAUAAAUUAGCUGAAGACAUACAUUUGGGCUGAGAGAUGGUUCACAGAUCAGUCGUGGUGAUCUGCACAGUAGCGCCGCGCGUCACCAGUCGCAACUUCUUCGCUCCGCCGGAGCGUUAUCAGGGUUCAAACAGCGUCGUUUUAAGGACGUAGCAACACAGAACAAAUCACAAAGGGAUAGAUUAUAUUCAAACUUCUAGUUGCAGGUCGUCCUCAACGCCGGGUCAUCGUCAACAAGUAUAAGCGAUUUGAGCCCGAUGAUCUCACGAUUGUUUGCCCUAUCGCCACGCUAUAGUGUUCCGGGCCUUGCGUUUCAUGAUACAGUAACCCUAAUCUUUGAGAGCGCGAAGUUUGCAGUUAACCCGGUCCUUAUAAUCAGCUCAUCACUCAAAUCAUGUCAGUUUCCAGCCCUGACGGGCAAAAAAUCCGUGAACAUUACUAUCAUUUACGUUCCAUUCAGUGCGGGUAGAUCCCGGAAAGACAAUAUAGCUGGUUUCCCACACCAUUAUCCGUCCAAAAAUAGGAUAGAAGUUACCGAUUACCCAGUAAAGUGGGAAAUCCAUGUGGAAAGGCACGUGUUAACAUCCCUCUCCGCAGAAUGCGUAGGCGAACUGAAAAUUUUCCUUCUUAAAGUCUUACUUCUUCGGUAAUACAGGGCUCUGGUAUUAUUGUUGUUCCUAUGUAACUGUGGCACGGUGGUGGAAUCUCCCCAUCAUUGGAAGGAGUGCACAGUUCAUAAUAUCUAAAUCCAAAAUGCCCAGCCCCCCUUGUGUUUUACUCAAACAGACACUCUUCCAAGCCACCAAACAUCCCUUGCCUAGAGAGUUACUUUCACCGUUCCAGAAAAAGUCUCUGCGUAAGGCUUCGAUACGCUUGAUCACCCACUUCGGUGCCUUGUACACAGAUAGGAAGUAAAGGGGUAGAUUGGUAAGGACAGCAUUGACCAGGAUGAGUCUACCCCCUCUUGAGAGAAGUUUGGCUUGCCAUCCCUGAAUUCUGCGUUGAAUUUUCUGAAUGAUCUCUCUCCAUACCUCCUUUGUGGGGGGUCUAGGGGAAAGAGGAAAUCCAAGAUAAGUGGUUGGCAGGGUACCAACUUUGCAUUCCAGAAGGUUUGCUAGUUUUGCCGCCCUGCCCUCAACCUGCCCCAAGUAGUAGAGUUCGGACUUAUCUCUAUUGAUUUUCAUUCCCGAGGCCCACUCGAAGAGGCUCCACAUCAGUCUAAGGUUUCUCAUAUAUUUUUUCCUCGCCUCACAGAAGAGAAAAGUAUCGUCCGCAAACUGUAUGAGAGUAGUCAUACUUUCGUUGGAUGGGCCAAUCCCUUUAAGAAGAUUGUUACCAGUGGCCACAUUCGUCAUUUUGGCUAGACACUCUGCCACCAAUAGGAACAUGAAUGGUGAUAGCGGGUCUCCUUGCCGCACACCUCUCUUAGUUUUAAUCCAAUUGGUUGGCUCCCCAUUGACCAAAAUAGCUACUUUCGCAUUACACACGCACUGUUCCAUCCAUCCGCACCAUUUAUUGUCGAACCCCCACCAGCGUAGAAUACUAAAGAGAAACGGCCAAUGAAUCCUAUCAUAGGCCUUUUCGAAAUCCACUUUUAUGCGACCCCCUCAGUACCCCUCUUACACCCCCACCCUAAUAAUUCCGAAACUGUUGCAUACGCGUCGGUGAUGUUCCUCCCCUUCACAAAAGCUGAUUGUGAGGGGGAUAUUAAGUCAUUCAGGACCACAGCGAGCCGAUUGGCUAGAACCUUUGAUACGAUCUUCUGGACACCGUUAAGAAGGCUAAUAGGUCGGAAGUCAUUCGCUCUCUCCGCCCCGACCUUCUUAGGAAUCAAGCAUAUGUAACUGUAGUCAAUGGGAGCAGUAGACAACCUCCCCUCAUACAUUUCCUGGAACAAGUUGAAUAUGUCAUCCUUUACGAUAUCCCAAAAAGUUUGGUAGAACCUUAAUGAAAAUCCAUCCGGGCCCGGAGCUUUAUCGCUCCCCAAUUGGAAGACAGCGUGCUUUAUUUCCUCGAUGCUAAAUUGUUCAUUUAGCCUCCUAAGUUUAUCUGCCGAAAUCUGACCAGAGGAAAAGAGGCCGCUCCAGUCCCCAAACGAACCUGGUGGCGAGUCUUCCGGCGUGAAUAACUCCUUAAAUUUACGGAAAAAAUAGGCCUUCUUUUCCUCCUCAGCCUGGUAAACCCUCCCGUUAUCAACAACCACCCCGAUUUCGUUAGCUCUUCGUCUCCCAUUGGCUAUACUAUGGAAGUACUUUGUGUUCCGAUCUCCUUCCCGUAACCAAUGUUGUUUAGCCCGAGUUCGCCACAAAGAAUCUUCAUCCUUCAGAAUUCCUCUUAAUUUAGUUUUUAGCUCUUCUCUUACCAAUCCUCUUUCGUCUGAAAGAUUGUCUUGUUCCUCGGCUUUGUCCAUCUCGUGUAUUUGGGUCAUUAACUCGUCUUUCAUGCCUCUAAUGCUAUAGAACUCUUGCUUGCACCAUUCCUUAAUUCUUUGCCGACAAUGUCUUAGUUUUGCUGUGAUAGUAAGCACCGCUGAGUUUUCCGGGGCCCGCUCUUUCCACCAUUCAGGUAAUUUGUUAAGAAAUCCCUCGUGAUUCAGCCAUGCUUCCUCAAAUCUAAACAUUUUCUUCCUCCUCUUGAUGUUUUUCUCGACCGAUAAGAGGAUGGGGCAGUGGUCCGAGGUGACACGAGGGAGCGCUUCGACUCUGGACGAAGGAAAGUCCUGAUCCCAUUCUGUUGAGACUAAGAAGCGAUCAAGUCUCGCCAGAGUAGGAUUUUUUUGCAUAUUGGACCAUGUGAAGGAUUGGUUCAUCAUCGGUGGGUCGAUUAACGCUAGUUUUCUAAUAAGCUCAUUAAAACGAUUCGUAGCUCUAGCACUCCAGGUCUUCCCCUUUCGCUCUUCCUGUCGUCUAAUACUGUUGAAAUCUCCGCAGAUAAUCCAUCUUCCUUCGCAACUCGAUUUUAGUUGUUCCAAUUCCAAGUAGAACUCCUCUUUACCAUUCCAAGUUGCAGGCCCGUACACGUUAGUGACAUAAAAAAUUAUCCCGGUCUUGAUGUGUGAAAGGAGGACGGUAAUCGAAUAGUUUCUCACAAGCACAUCGUGGCAGGUGUACACACGAGAGCUCCAACACGUAAUAACCCCCCCGGAGGCACCAUCCGAUUCCAGAUAAACACAUUUGUUAAGGAAGGAUCCGGCUACACUACGUAGAAAAGAGCCCGACACAUGGUUCACUUUAGACUCUUGAAGACACACGACCCCACUGUUAAAUUUAGAGAUGACCGCCCUAACGGCAAUACGCUUAGGAAGGCAAUUAAGCCCUCUUACAUUCCAACUACACACACUUAACAUAAUAAAAACAAAAAGACACCCCAUCACAAAAUCCCAAAAUGGUGUCCACAAAUACAGAGUCCCACUCCGCCUACACUCGCUUACCCAAGAACUCAGCGAAAUCCUUCGCCUCCGAUUCCUCCAGGCUGACACCGCAGAGGCGGCUCUUACGGAGAAGCUUCUUAACAGAAUAAUUAGUCCCACGCCUUUCUCCUUCCUCACGCUGGCUAGCUUUUCUCACCAUUGCUCGGUGCAGGACUGUAGUUUUCUCAGAAUUCGCAAGUCGCAUGCUGGUCCGUGGAAGUAAGGAAACCGCCAAAUCACCUCUGAUGACUAUGGACUCCUUCCCAUUGGGCUGCACCUCCGACCCCUCAAUCCGAUCUCUAGAGUAGCCUUGCGCCACCUCGACAUGCUCAGUUGCUUGCUGAUAGCCUGGAUAAGGUUCCAUCUCUGCCCCUGUUGAGAUGCCAAGUAUUGCACUCCCCAACGUAACGCACUCACAAGGCCCCGAACCGGUCCCACCGGAGGCCGAAUGAAUGGCCCAAAGUCCAAUAGAAUGCGGGUGAAGGGCCCACCCGCAGUCCUUCGCUCCAAAAAUAAAAAAACUAAGGCUUGGGCUUGGUAUAGGCGCGAUGUAGCAGGCCCGCUUCCCCAUUACCACCCCACGUCCACUAAAUAAAAGAUUCUCACUCUCACUCCCACUCCCAAUAGGAUCCACCAGAUUCACAAUAGGCUUCAUAAAGGAAUAAGUCUUGUCGGGUUGACUCCACGGAUAGGUUACCUUGAAAUGACCCAUAGCAUUUACUAUCUCGGGCCCCACACUCGUGAGACCAGAGUUGUCCAUCUCCCAACACAUCACCUCUGUCAGGGGCAUGGAAAGUCUGCUCUUCCCAAACCCCUUCCAGCUUGCCUCCUUCUUCAUGCAAUUUUCGUAACUCCCCUUCUCUCUUCCAUGCUUCGAUCGCUGCGCUUCUCUGCCCUCGAUUCCUGUGCCGCCGCUUCCCGUUUCACUCUCGGCUCCCAUCCCGUACACCACCAUCUCUCCGCCCGAUGCACAUGUCGGUCGGCCAUCGGUGGCCGCCCACCCUCCCGAAACGCCGUCGGCAAGUCCUUCGGGCGCCGCUCUCCCCGCCGCCCGGCUGUGUGGUCGACCACAGAACUCCGCUGACCAUCCUCCAGUUAGACCUCCACCGUUGUUCACCGCUUUCCAGAGCGGUGCGGAUCGCGAACGUCCACAAGGCACCAACGUCCGCCCUCCCGCCGUCCUCCCUCCCUCACGGUCGUGCGUCCUUUUUUGUCCCGACGCUCGGCCAUCUCUCCUAUCAUCCACCGCCAUCCCACCCACCCGUCUGCACGAUCGUUCCCCACGCUCCCCCUCCCCCGAGUCAGCCGAAUGGGCCCUAUUGUUCAGUUGGGUCGAGUCAGCUUCCUCCACCUCCCCUGCUUCAUCUCUCAUCUCCUCGUCCUCACUCGCCUGGCCACGGCGAUCCUGUUGACUGGGAUCUCUAACCCCCGCUUCCUCCCUUACCCCGCCACCCCCCCGCCCGUUCUGCGGAGGUGCAGGCGGAUCGCCAUCCCCUCCUUCCACAGCCCUCUCCCAGCUCUCCAAGUGCACCAUGACGGCGAAAGCUUCAUCACCCAACACAAUUGACAGGUUCUGGGGGAUAUCAUAGACAGAAUCCAGAGCGAUCUGGCACCUGAACGCUCGCAGGUCUGUCGUAGCUUUGGUGGUUGCAUCCGCCCUUAUAAACCUCCCGAACGCACUCACAAUCGCCGCCACACGAGGGACCGUCCAGCACUCGAACGGAAGAUUAAUCAGUCGGAUCCACGCCCGCAGCCUCGAUCGAUGUGGGCGGACGUUCGUGUACUGCCCCCAAGGGUAGCACCUGAUCCAAAAGUUGUUGAGGGUGAGCACUUCCCUCCUAAGUAGGUCCUCCGCAGAUACCCAUUCAGGCAGGAAUAUCGCAAAGUCCCGUUCCCUAUAUCUUGCGACUGCAAAGUCGUCGACGUACCCCCCGAAACGUCUGGCCAUGGCGGUUUUGAUUGUGGUGAUAGGGUCCGGUCCCAGAAAUGCAGGUUGUAUCACGUCCGCAAGUACUGCGUUAUGGCGCCGCUCACGUCUUCGCAAGUACUCCUCCGUGUACGGAACAAACACCUUCGGCACCGGAGUGCGUCCGCGGCCCUGUUGACGGCAAGGCCUGAACAUCUUCUCGUUUACCUUAAACUCUCUACUCUCCUUGCAGUUGGAUGCUCGGUGACCGAACCUAAGGCACCUGAGGCACCGUACCGGGUCACGGCAGUCGGCCACUCUGUGCUCCUUAGCGAGACACCUGAAGCACCUCCUCGCAAGGUCAGAACUUGAGAUCCACUUCGGACCCUUCAAAGUGGAAGUUUUCUUGGGAGGAAAUGGGGCAGGCGAGUGGUGUGGGUGCUGCCUCAUCAACAGCACCGCCUUAUACGUCCGAGGAUCAGAGCUGGAAGAUUUACUACCAUCAUCUUCCCCACAGUACGUCCCCUCCUUUGCAUCAAUCCUGGUAGCCAACCCAGACUUUCCGGCUUGGUGAUCAUCACUAACUCCCUCCUUUUGCUCAUUAACUAAGCCCUUGCCGGAAGCAGGUAAGAUCACAACACCCUCAACCUGUCUACGACACGUCUCCACUAAACCUGUGCUGACCUCGUUCACCCCGACUCGUCGCUUCAGUGGAUUUCCUCUUAACUGUCCGAUCUUUACUCCUUCCCUCAGCUCUUGUUCAUCGUCUAGACCAGAGAAAGACCCCUCCUCUCCAUAAUGGCACCUGCUCACCUCAACUAAUGGUUUACCUACCUCGUCCGCCCAUGCUACUCGCUUCAGGACUUUCUUCCUCCUUUCCUCCCUAGCUCUCUCUUUCUCUCUCAUUUCCUCCCAUUAUGAAUUGUUGUUUAGACGAAAGUAUACUUAAUGAGUUAUUGGAGGAAAACAAAUUAAAUUCUUUUAUUUGUAGAAUUUAAUAAUGAUUUUAUGCAAAAUAAUGCAUAUUUUAAUUCAGUUUUGUCGGUUUGAGGAUUGUAAUAUGGAUCGUGUCGGUUGAAUCAGACCAUCAGGUGGUUUGAUAUAGCACGAAUCCGAAUCCUAGCAGUGUUGUACCAUGCCACCUUUUUUUUAUAUCCACGUUCUGAUCCUGCCAAUAUACUGGAUACGUCUUAACCUGGUCCAGCUGUGCAAACUUUUCUUCCUAUAAUUUUUUAAUAUUCUUUAAAUUUUAUUUUAUUUUUAAAAUUUUACUAAUCAUUAUAUAACAGAUAUUUUUAUUUAUUAAAUAAAUAAGUUUUAAAUAAAUUUUAAGAAUAUUUUUGAAAAUUUGAAUAGUUUAAAUUAAUACUUGAAAUAAAAUUAAAAAUAAUACAAAAAAUUAGAAAAAAUAUAAAAUAAAAUAAACAAAUAGAUAGUGUCAGUCUGAUUGGCACGCCUGCUCAUUGGCCUUUUUACAUCCCAUGCAUUUUGCAAUUAACACAAAAAAGAAAAAAAAUCCAAUUAAAAAAGAAAAAAAAAAUUUCGAUCUACUACGACAGAUAGGGAAGGAGCAGCAAAGAUACGCAUACAAUAAAUAGGGAAAAGAGUUAUCGAUCAGUUUAAAGCAAAAUUUUCUAAAUAACUAUACUCAUCAUAGUUCUUAAAUAAAUUAUGAGAAUCAGAAAAGAGAACAAGAUUUCAAAAAAUAAAAAUAAAAAUUUAAGGAAUGUAAAAACAAAAUUGCCUUUUUAUCAAUUCAAUAACCACUAAAUGCUAAAUUAUUACGCCUCUAUUUUAUAUAAAUGCUUUAUCAUAUUAUCAACUCUUUCUAAUGCAUUAAGAAUUUAAAAUUAUAAAAACUAAUAUGUGUUUGUACAUACAGAGCUUUCAAAUUCAAAUUUCGAACUGAUUCAGAAUUUUUUAUUGCUAUUUUUAAAUAACAAAAGGAGUUCCCAUUGAACACGAAGGAGAGCAAAAUGACUAAAAUCAAGAUAUUCAUAAAAUGCCAAACAAAUUGGAUGAAACAGCUUUGGAUUUUAUUUUACUUUUAUUUUUUCAAACCAACGUUUCGCUCCCGCUCGCUCUAAAUGCACACGUAUUAUUUUAUUUAUUUUAUACUUAUUAUUUAUUUUAAUAUAUUAUACACAUGUAUACAUCAAUAUAUGCACGCUACAAGGGAUGGAUGAUACAAAUCAAUUAUCAAUCACUUGAUUGGUGCUGUACCCAUUCAUUCUACAUCUUCGUAAAUACAACAAAUAGACUGAUCGUCCCUAGAGCAAGUGGCAAAAGGCUUGGUGGUUGGUAUUCGAGGUCCCAAGUUCGAAUCUUAGUUGAUUCACAUUUUCAGUUAAGUUUAUUUCUAAAUGAAAUAAAAGAAGCGGGUAGCGUACUACCUAUCUCUCAAAAAAAAAAGAAAGUAAAUACAACAAAUAGUAUUGUAUACUGGAUAAAAGUGUUAGAAUCCACCACCACUAAAAUGUUUCUUAUAUGAUCGAUGCCCAAUACUCGAUAAUUUUAGUUAUCUUAUUAUUAUUUUAUCCAAAGGUUAAUUAGAGAAGAUAUUCUAGAUGAUCUCGACUUCUCUAAUUUUGAAAUGUGUAUGGACUGCAUAGAAAGAAAGCAGAUCAAAACCUCCUCGAAAGGUGCCAAAAGAUGUGAUUAAACAUUAGAAUUGAUUCAUACAGAUAUGCGGACCUCUUUCUCUCUCAAUUACUGACCAUAAAUAUUUUAUCAUAUUUACUGAUGACUACUCUCGAUAUAGCUAUCUCUACUUGCUUUAAAAAAAAUCUGAAAUAUUAGAUGUCGUUAAGACAUAUAAGACUGAAAUAGAGAAUCAACUUGAGAAAAGGAUAAAAAUAGUCAGAUCAGAUAGAGGUGGUGAAUAUUUUGGUAGACAAGCAGAUAAAUGUCAAAUCUCUGAGCUUUUUACUAAGUUUCUUGAGUAGUACAAAAUUAUUCCACAAUACACCAUGCCAAGAACACCUGAUCAGAAUAGUAUUACUAAAAGAAGGAACCAUACAUAAAUUGAUAUGCUCAAGAGCAUGAUCAGUAAUUCUACCAUUCCGAUAUCAUUGUGGGGUGAAACACUGACAACUACCCUAUAUAUACUUAAUUGGGUUCCUACCAAGACUGUCACUAAAACUCUUUUUGAGAUUUGGACCAGUAGAAAAUCUAGUUAAAGACAUUUUUGUAUAUGGGGUUGUCAAGCUGAGGGCAAAUUGUAUGACCCACAAAUAAAGAAAUUGGACCCUCGAAUCAUAUCUGAAUAUUUUAUUUGUUAUUUAAA
rnacentral:lncRNA from 1 species